rnacentral:rRNA from 1 species
GACGAACGCUGGCGGCGUGCCUAAUACAUGCAAGUUGAGCGCUGAAGGUUGGUACUUGUACCAACUGGAUGAGCAGCGAACGGGUGAGUAACGCGUGGGGAAUCUGCCUUUGAGCGGGGGACAACAUUUGGAAACGAAUGCUAAUACCGCAUAAAAACUUUAAACACAAGUUUUAAGUUUGAAAGAUGCAAUUGCAUCACUCAAAGAUGAUCCCGCGUUGUAUUAGCUAGUUGGUGAGGUAAAGGCUCACCAAGGCGAUGAUACAUAGCCGACCUGAGAGGGGGAUCGGCCACAUUGGGACUGAGACACGGCCCAAACUCCUACGGGAGGCAGCAGUAGGGAAUCUUCGGCAAUGGACGAAAGUCUGACCGAGCAACGCCGCGUGAGUGAAGAAGGGUGUCGGAUCGUAAAACUCUGUUGGUAGAGAAGAACGUUGGUGAGAGUGGAAAGCUCAUCAAGUGACGGUAACUACCCAGAAAGGGACGGCUAACUACGUG